UGGAGUGGAAAGGAAUCACCGCGAAUUAAUUUCUUGCCUUUUACCAGAAAUUACAGGGCUCCUUCCAAAAACGCUCCAUUUGUCAAUCUUUGGAAUCUCUUUCACGUUCGAACC
rnacentral:snRNA from 1 species